CGACGUCUGCGUUCGAUUGAGGCCCAUGAGUCGGGUUAUCCAGUGUGCUGCUCCCCGUUUGCCAUCCUCCCAACGUCCCCCUCGGGAGAUGGCCUAGAGCAACGCUCGUACUCUGGCCGACCAUGCUUGUUAAAUUACAUUCCCUCACCCAUGGCGUCCUGCUGGCAGUCGGAAACUUGCUCCUCGCCCACCACUAUACUGAUAACCGUUUUCGAUGGCGGUGGUCGAGGAGGACGUCCGAGGCAGUUUUGCCAAAAGAUCAGAUGCUUUUGAGCAAUGAUCCUUCCCCGGCUGUGCUCGUUUGCACAUCGGCUUUGCACUGGACAUCCAAGUCUGAGCGUGGCCAAUAACCGAAGGACCUGCGCGGCAACCCCUCGUCACGGCGAGCGUCGUCUCUGCGAGCUUCGCAUCGAGCGUCCUAAACGCUCAUCAGGUGCACUGGGUGUGUUUUUUUCUAGAUGGUCUAGCUGGCGAGGGUGGCGCACGCCUUAGAGAAGUUAACUCUUUGUUCAGUUGCACUAGCUAGCGCUCACUAGGAUGCAUAGCUACAUUACAAAAUUGCUUAGCUGUAAGCCCGAGGUUUCGUGGGCAUGGCUUGUGGCCACACGGGUCUUCUCCGUGCCGGAAUCGAAGAGGACGGGCCAUGUGUUGCGGGGUGGCGGUGUAUAGCUUCAGGUUUAGCUGGCACACAGGCUUAGCUCACACUGCGCAGGCUACAGCUGAUAGCCGUCCUCUUACGACUGCGUCAGGGACAUGGACCCAUCCGAAUGGCCUUGCGACCCGACCCCACUAUUUCGUGAUGGAGAUAGCCCACGCGUGUCAGUGCUAUCGAGCGAAAUGUGGAAUGACGGAAGCAAACGGCAUUCGGAAAUUACCUCGCCAGCUUUUAGCUAUUGCGGCGACCUUACGUCGCCUACGGUCUGGAGCGCAGCUCGGCCGUGCAGCAGUUACGGUAAGUGGUCCAUUUCUUUGCUGUUCCAGCAGUUCUUUUCUGGUUGUUUACUUUCCUCCUUGCGUCGCAGAUGACCUUGAUCGCCACUCGUGCUGUUACCAACCGUCUUAACUAUUUCGCAUUCCCUCGGCGGUGAAGUGUUGCUGGUGAACUGGACUUUGUUCCUCGCUCGGCACUACUCCUGGUUCCUACCGUCUGCUUUCCAUUGCGGCUAUUCACAAGCAUAUCUAGCGGGUGCUUCUGGACAUCGUCUCCGGCCGCGUUAGGUCUGCAUUUUUCUCACCGGUGGCUUUCAGCUGGGAUGCCGAGAUUCGUUCAACUUCCUGCACUGCUUCUGACAAGUACCACGUAUACACUCCAAUGGUACUACGGAUGUUUUCUCGUGUGGCGUAUAAGCCCUGUGACAUUUAAGGUUCCGAACGUCUGCUUUCGAAUGAAGCCGUGUUUUCCUCUGACGGCUAUGGUUCGCGUUCACUCAGUGCUCCUUUCAUUAAUCUUGUUGCUACACCUUGCCGGUUCAGCAACUACAGAAACUCUGUGGGCUUCCGAUUAAAUUCGCUGUCGGAUGUAUUUACUAUGCAGACCUUCGAGGUUAGGUUUAUGCUUCGGAAAACUUCCUUCGCCAGUUUCUAAAAGGCUGUAGCUCACCGAGCAAGACGACGUUGAAUUUCUUCCAUUCCUGGUUGUAUUUCUUAGUUGAGUUCAUUUGCUCACCCGUAAUUUAUUUCGUCUACUCGGAGUGACACAUUUUUCACAAUGCUUUUGUAACUCUACAUAGUCUUCACUUUAGUCGAAGGUUGCCGUCCUGUUCUUCAAUGUUUCCUCCCAGUUUUCUGGUUCCGCCCGUCGGGUCCGCAGACGUUAGAGGAAUGGGUUCUCCAGGUCCAUCGUGAACUUCUGUUAACGAUUGCUUCUUAAUGAUACCACCUACUUUGUGUACUCGGAUAUAUAGUUCUCCAUUAUGCAGUACACAUCGACCGAUUGCUCUCCGCAGUAGCCUUCAAAACUACGAAUGAGCCUUUCAUAGAAACCGCUCCCACACGGUGUUUUGCGGACGAAAUGUUCACUUGGUGAUAAGUCAUGAAUUGUUCAGUUGUUUAUCGACGUAAUGUUGCUGUGACCGCAUUCAAUCUCUUAUUAGUUCUCCUGAAGGUCUUGCGUUGUUGCUGAGAACAUUUAUGUUCGACCUGAGAAACGCCAAAAAUAGUGUAGAAAACCGAUGUGAAGCGUCUCCAACAGUUUCCCAGUGUACACCUCUUGUCACAGCACAUGUGAAAGUUGCUACACAAAGUUUGGAUGUCCGCUUUCUUGUAUUUUUUUCUUUUGUAGUUGCUCCCAGCGCACCGUUGAAACGUAGAGCAGUUAUUUCAAACAAUGUGGUCUUCGUUACUCUAUCCUCAAGUGGAGGUACUUGCUCUUAAAAUGAUCUGGCAUUGUAUCUUCGCCACACAGCGCACUGUCGUAUUACUUUCACUUAUUUUCGCCCUCCGAUUACCCUAAAUCUCGUUAUUAUACGCGCGAGUGUACCGCGUACUCCAUCAUGAAGUUUGUCCAUAUAGGUGUCGCACUAAUAGUCCACAUUUCUUCCAUUUACAUGUGAUCGCGUGCUGCUGCUCUUGUGAUACGGGCCCUACCGAAGGCGCCCGUGAAGUCUCAUUGGGUCUUUGUCUCAAGAUAUCUGGUAUUCACCUAUUAUCUGCACAUUCGCUUGCUUGCUGAAUUGCUGCAAUUAUUUUGCAAUAUACGCACUUUGUUCUAGCCAAAUGAGGCAGGUUUCGGCAAUACUUAUUUCUUCUGCUUUUAGUGGACCAUUGAACUUGUCCUCUAAUAAUCACGGAAAAAAACAUCACGUAGUUGCUCUCCAAGUAUUCAAGUAACUGCCGAACCUGUCAACUUCAAUUCCUCGUCUUGAGAUCCUUUUCGACGUAUAUCUGACACGAGAAUCAUCUCCUUUCCUUUCAUUAUUAACCGGCAUUUUGUAACGGCUAUUUGGUCUGUAGCAACUGGAAUCCCUUCCACGAAAUUGUUCACUACAUCUUUUCUACAGUGACUCCUGGUUAUAUCUGCUCGAUUUUUCAAUACUACUGACGUAUCCCCAUUGUUCUCCUACUGAGUAAUCCUUUUUUUUUUGUACUGUGUUCAACAGUUGCUUCAUACAUUUUCUUUCUCCAAUGCAGCACGAUUGUACAAGUGGUACGACACUUUACUGUUGCUCGCAAGUUCUAAUUUGCGAGACUGACGACGGUGUUAAUUAGAGCUACUGUUCUUUGCCAGGACCAGCACUGUCUGCACACUGAUAUCAGUACCAUGAAUGCUGCACUUGAAUACACCGUCGGGCUUGCAUCCGAGAAGUGUCGGUGCUUACGUUCCGUUUCUUGUCGAUGCGCCUUGAGGCAUUUAGUCCCUUAUCUUCCGCGAUAUAUUUCUCCAUAGAGCAUUUAUCUUCGUCUGGGAGAGGGUUGUCCCAAUAUUCGGGUUUUUUCCCGUCACUGAAUACCGAUAUUAGCUGUUGCAGUGCAGGGCGUUAGAAAUUCCAGCCGACCAAAUAUUUUCGCCCUGGCUUGAAAUACUCAUCGCUUCGUCAGAAUUUUACUCGAGUCUUCAUAUCGAUGGGAAAGGAGAAUACCGUCGGCCGUGUUCCAGUUCAUUCCUAGAACACUGGUCUCGCUUUAUCACGUAAGAACGGCACCUCGAUGAGCAUUCAAAUUCUCAUUUCUUCACUGUUCGAUGUCCACUUCCUAAGAUUCAUUGCAGCUCGGAUAACUUCUUUUUUUGCUUCUAUGUACACGCUUCUGCCUGGUUUUCUUAUGUUCCAAGCAUAACUUAAUUACGUUUGCUGUCAUUGCAAGAAUUUCUUAGAAAAUAAGUGUUGGUACAUCCGCAUUCACAUUUACUCCUGUCUGCAGAUCAUCAUUCAGAACGUUCCUCAUCUUAACCACGAGGCGUCAAAUGCUACGCUUAAUUUUCUUGCUAGUCGGUCUUCUCGAAUUGCUUGACGGUGCGAUACGGUAGUUAUUCAGAUUCUUCCGAACUCGCUCGUUGUGCUUUCCAGGUGUGAAACAUCUCGCAUUGAACAGUUCUAUUUUCAUCUCACUGCUGCGUUUGUCUCGUGUCUUCGACAUAGUCUUCCAAUUGCUACUUCGUUGAUUUACACCUUAACUUGCUCUCUCCAUCCUUCUGAACAGUCCUUGUAACUACAUCGUCCACUUUAUGCAUCGUUUCUUUCUGAGGAGCUGAGCCAGUAUAUACCGCCUGCAAAAAGUUCAAAAUGAAAGUUGUCAGUUUCUGCGUCGUCAAGAACCAUGGCGAGUUUCGCGUUUCGCAGUUCUCUUCUACACCACAUGGGUCAGGCACAAUCCAGUCGGGUAUUUCCUAUUUUCCAUUGCAUCUUCGUUUCGUCUUUUCACUGGGGUUUCCUCCUCGCCUGCACUACUAGUGUUGCGGUCCACAAGCGUACCCAGCGCGCUCUUGCCCGACUGUACGGUCUGCGCUCCAAAAGAUUACUUCGGGCACGAGCAUCGCCUGUUCCAGGAUCGACUGCUAUUGCUUCUACAUUCUCUCGCCGGUGGCGUCCUGCUGGUAGACUGGAAUUGUCUCCCCGACCUGCACUACUACUGCUUCUGCACUCCUGUUUUCAAUUGCGGUCAACAAGCGUACCCAGCGCGUUCUUCACGACUCUUCGGCCUACACUCCAAAAGAUUACUUCGGGCACGUGCAUCACCUGCUCCAGGAUCGACUGCUAUUGCUUCUACAUUCCCUCGCUGGUGGCGUCCUGCUGGUAGACUGGAAUUGUCUCCCCGAUCUGCACUA